GACGAACGCUGGCGGUGUGCUUAACACAUGCAAGUCGAACGGUAAGGCCCUUUCGGGGGUACACGAGUGGCGAACGGGUGAGUAACACGUGAGUAACCUGCCCUCAUCUCUGGGAUAACAGUCGGAAACGGUUGCUAAUACUGGAUAUGAGCUUGCAAGGCAUCUUGUGGGUUGGAAAGAUUUUUUUGGUUGGGGAUGGACUCGCGGCCUAUCAGCUUGUUGGUGAGGUAGUGGCUCACCAAGGCUUCGACGGGUAGCCGGCCUGAGAGGGCGACCGGCCACAUUGGGACUGAGAUACGGCCCAAACUCCUACGGGAGGCAGCAGUGGGGAAUAUUGCACAAUGGACGGAAGUCUGAUGCAGCUACGCCGCGUGCGGGAUGACGGCCUUCGGGUUGUAAACCGCUUUCAAUUGUGACGAAGCUUUUUUGUGACGGUAGCAGUAGAAGAAGCACCGGCUAACUACGUG
rnacentral:rRNA from 1 species